GAGAACUUGAUCCGCAGCCUCUCUGUGCAUCAGGUGCCCUGCUAACGUCGCCGAGAGCAUCCCAUGCGUGUCAUCAGCCACACCCCAGCCGCCGUUAGGCCUUUAUGUGCGUGACUGACUGCGGGACGUCUAUUUCCACUGGGACUGGCGCCUCCCGAGGGCAGGCCCCCUUUCUGUUUUGUUCACCCCUGCACGGAGCUCACGGAGCCCCAAACCAUUCUCCUCUGUGUUCGUUAAGCUCGGUCUCCUGCGGAUGGUAAGCUCCACGCGGAAGGCGUUGCGACAGCCCAGGCCACACCGUCCCCAGCAUUAGCAUGGCGCCUGAAAGCUCACGGCGGGCGGGGGGAUGAGCUUGUGUGAACCGAUACGGAAAGAUGCCUGAGACAUCGCUGAAAGGGGAGAGAGCAGAUUACAAACCCCACACACAGCACGACCUAGUUUCAAAACUACCACCCCGUACGUCGCUCUCUGCAUGUUUAGGACCUCAAAGGUCCCAUCCCAGACCGUGCAGGGGGGCUGCCUUGGGUCGGGAGACACGAAGGGCGGGAUUAUACGGUGCUUCUGUUUUUAAGGCACGUUUCUAGAAUCUAUUUCAGUGAGAAUAUAUUACCAGGGUCUUUGGGGAGAAAAAAAAGAUGUGAAGGUGAGCGCAAGGGUGUAUCUGUGGGCGCGCACGAAUGACACGUGAGCUCGCCGUUCACACCAUCUGGGGUGGGUGCUGGGAUGCGCCUCCUGGUCCCCCGCAGGGCGGAAGGGCUGUCCCCACCUGCUGACGAUCUGAGGCACUCAUACUUGUAAAGAACUCAGCACAAAGAUGUUAAGAAGGGACCUCCAAGUUAGCAAGAGGGUUUGCUGCUAACGGUGGGAGCCCACGUCAAAACUCCCCGCACGCACAGAGAAGCUGCAUUUUUAACCGACUCCCCGGGGGAUGCCACUGGUCUGGGAAGCCCGCCUUGAGAACCACCGUUUCGGACCAAAAUCUCGGCAGGAGAUGCCAAAUGAUCAAAGGAAUCUUUAACAUCAGCCAAGCCCAUCUAGGAAAAGCAAAUGCCACGCUUCUCGUGAGUCAUCCUGAGCCAGCCUCGCUGCAAAGCUCAGGCCACCUCCGUUAUUCAUUCGUCAAACCAUUUCCGGUAGGGGCAGGGCCAGCUGGUCCUGGCGACAGCUUCUGGCCAAAACGUGCUCAGAAACAAAAGCCCGUGGGCUCCCCUCCAGGAGGAAUGUUCCAGACUCAAAGAGUACCCGGACAGAGAGUCUAUCUGUGGGAUUAAAUCUCAUGGGGACUGAUCAGGAACGAAAGAAAUGCCCGAAAAGGCUCUUCGGGAAGGUCUUGUGAAUGACCCUGCAUCCCUCCAAAAGACGCGUCGACGCCCUAACCCCUCAGUGUCUGCGAACGUGGUCUUGUUUGGAAACAGGGUCUCGGGGGGUGGAACCAAGUUAAGAUGAGGUCGUUCGCGUGUGUCCAGAUCCGAUAAGACGGGUGGUCCUUGGACGAAGGGGACAGGGCCACGUGAAGACGUGUCCGUGAGCCAAGGAGCUCACGGCAUGACUGGUCACAGUUGGAGGGGAGGGGACCAGGGCGCUGCCCACACCUUCCUUUCAGACCUCCAGCUUCGGGAACCGUGACAGAGUAAAUUCCUGCUGUUUCAGGCACUCAGGUGGCAGUCCUUUAUUUCAGCCACUGCGGGGAAGCUAGCAAGGGCGUGACAGUGGAGAAAUGGUUCAGAACCACUGACCUCGACCCUGAGACGGGUUUGAGGACGGACAUGAUAAACACAGAGCGCCGAGCACCGAGCCUGCCACACGGUCACGGGAGGCACUUCAUACAUGUCAGCUGUCACCAGGCUCCCCUACUGGUUCCCGCCCACGGAAGAGUAAAUCGUGACCCGUAAAGGAGAGGGGGUUCUGGAACAUCGGUCCUCUCUGGGCUGCACGGGAGGCAGGCGGCGGGAGCAGGGGUGGAGACCCCACACCGGGGUUCUCUCCUGCUGGGACAGUCGGGCCACUGUCCCCGUCCCGGACGGCAGCCUGCGGUUGAACAGGGCCAGCUGGGGCCCUCUCGGAAGAGGCAGUAAGGUCUAGUCGGUAUGACUGUCAUCCUGGAAAGAAUUUUCUUCCCUGAGUGUAACAGUUUCUUAACAUAGCUUGUUUACAGUUAUAGGGACUUUCUGUUUUAAGUUUAUUUAUUUUGAGAGAGAGACAGACACAGAGACAGUAGGGGAGAGGGAGA